rnacentral:rRNA from 1 species
UACGGAGGGUGCAAGCGUUGCUCGGAAUUAUUGGGCGUAAAGGGCAGGUAGGUGGUCUCGUUUGUCUGGGGUGAAAGCCUUGAGCUUAACUCAAGAAGUGCCUCAGAAACGGCGAGACUAGAGUUCUGGAGAGGGUCGUGGAAUUCCCGGUGUAGCGGUGAAAUGCGUAGAGAUCGGGAGGAACACCAGAGGCGAAAGCGGCGACCUGGACAGAUACUGACACUCAACUGCGAAAGCGUGGGGAGCAAACAGG